rnacentral:rRNA from 1 species
UACAGAGACCUCAAGCGUUAUCCGGAUUUAUUGGGCGUAAAGCGUCCGCAGGUGGUUUAGCGCGUCCCGCGUCAAAUGUCACGGCUCAACCGAGACACUGCGUAGGAUACGGCUAAGCUAGAGGCUGGGAGAGGUAAGCGGAAUUCCUGGUGUAGUAGUAAAAUGCGUUAAUAUCAGGAGGAACACCAAAUGCGAAAGCAGCUUACUGGAACAAGCCUGACACUCAUGGACGAAAGCGUGGGGAGCGAAAGGG